AUGGGAGAAACAGGAAAGGAACAGCAGCAGCUGGGGACAUUAGACUUAGAAAUCAGGAAAAAUCUCAAGCACAACCGGCAGCAGAAGGGAAAUCUCCAACAUGGCAGACAGAAUAAGCAGUUGAAGAAAGGCCUUUAUUGUGGGGAGAGGGCAUGCGUUCACAUCAAAGCAAAUCUGGAGGACGAGUUAGUGAAGGAAGCUCUCGGAACGGGUGUGAAUCUUUGACACUAUUCAAAGCAGGUGGAGCAGGAACUGCAGCAGAUUGAGCAGAAAUUAAUCCGAGACUAUAUCCAAGAGUGUUAAAGCAUAGCAUCUCUGCACAGUCAGAUCACAGCCUGUGACGCUGUCCUGGAGCGCAUGGAGCAGAUGCUGGGAGCUUUUCAGAGUGACCUCAGCUCCAUCAGCUCUGAGAUCUGGACCCUGCAGGAGCAGUCAGGGGCCAUGAACAUCAGACUUCACAACCUAAGGCAGUUUGUGAAAACUUGGGGAACUCGUGGCUGGUGGUGCCAUCUGCUCUGGUCAUAGCAAUUCUGGACGCUCCAGUGACAGAGCCCAGGUUCCUGGAGCAGCUCCAGGAGCUGGAUGCCAAGGCAGCUGUGGUCAGAGAGCAGGAGGCGAGAGGCACCACUGCCUGUGCAGAUGUCAGAGGCGUGCUCGACCGGCUCCGGGUCAAGGCAGUGACAAAGAUUUGUGAGUUCAUUCUUCAGAAGAUUUACUCCUUCAGAAAGCUGAUGACCAGCUAUCAGAUUCCCAGACGGCCCUGCAGAAGUACAGGUUUUUCUAUCAGUUCCUGCUGGGCAAUGAGUGUGCUACAGCCAAGGAGAUCAGGGAUGAGUAUGUAGAGACACUGAGCAAGAUCUACCUGUCAUACUACCGCUCUUACAUGGGACAGCUCAUGAAAGUGCAGUACGAGGAAGUUGCUGAGAAAGACGAUCUAAUGGGUGUAGAAGACACAGCAAAGAAGGAUAUCCUGCCGUCCCUCCACAGCAGGAACAUCAUCUUUACCCUGGGCACCCAUGGUGUUGUCAUCUUACCAGCUGAGCUCGAGGCCCCCAUCCUGGUGCCCCAUACUGCCCAGCGUGGAGAGCAGAGUUUCCCGUUUGAAGCUCUCUUCUGCAGCCAGCAGUAUGCCCUCCUCAACAACUAUUGCUGUGAAUAUCUUUUCAUCUGUGAAUUUUUUGUCGUGUCUGGCCCGGCUGCACAUGACCUGUUCAGCUGUCAUGAGCCGCACACUCUCCAUGACGCUGAAACACCUGGAGUCCUACCUGGCCGACUGCUACGAUGCCAUUGCUGUUUUUCUCUGUAUCCACAUUGUUUUCUGGUUCUGCAACAUUGCAGCAAAGAGGGACGUCCCUGCCCUGGACAGGUACUGGGAGCAGGUGCUUGCCUUGCUGUGGCCUCGGUUUGAGCUGAUCCUGGAGAUGAAUGUCCAGAGUGUCCGCAGCACUGACCCCCAGCACCUUGGGGGACUGGACACUCGGCCCCACUAUAUCACAUGUCACUCUGCUGAGUUCUUCUCCAAGCUCCUCAGCAUCAACCAGACCAUCCCCAAUGAACAGAUGCUGUAGCUACUGGGACAGCUACAGGUGGAGGUGGAGAAUUUUGUCCUCUGAGUGGCUGCAGAGUUCUCUUCCAGGAAGGAGCAGCUUGUGUUUCUGAUCAACAACUAUGACAUGAUGCUGGGUGUGCUGAUGGAGUGGGCUGCAGAUGACAGCAAAGAGGUGGAGAGUUUCCAGUAGCUGGUCAAUGCUCGGACACAGACAGUCUCUAAUUCCAUCUUUACCACAAAGCUUCAGUAUAGUCCUUUUAACAGGAAGCCCUUGUCUGCUGACUGGUUUUCAAAUAUUGGGAAUGUGACUCAGUGA